GGCGAGGCCGUGCAACCGGUUACUACUGUGAGGGAUACGAAGGAGGAGACAUACCAACCAACCGACCAGCCUGACAGCGUGCGACCAGGGCCAUCUGUUCAGGCUUUACCAGCGGCGGUAGCAGCUCCACCUGCGCCUGUGGUCUUGACCCAAGGGCAGGGGAUUGGCAAUCCCACUGCAUCAUUUCAUUGGCGCAUAGACAGAGGGUCCUGAUUUGCGGCCAUAGCUACGUCCACUGGGCGGAACACCGGGCUCACCGUACUCCCUACGGCCAACAUUUGGGCCUUGCCUCUUCUGCUAAAAUCGAGUGGAGGGGUAGUAGAGGCUUAAGGUGGGAUGGCUUGAUUCCCCUGCUGUUCUGUGCCGGGAGCGGGCCUCCUCCCGAGGUCUUGGUCAUUCACCUGGGGGGAAAUGACCUAGGCCUGCUCCAGGGCAGGGCCUUGUUUUUUCAGGCCAGAGAGGAUUUCAAGCAGAUAUGGGGUGCUUGGCCCCAUACCCAUAUUAUUUGGUCAGCGAUAAUCCCACAUCUAAAGUGGCCUGGUGGGGGAGACAUGCAGAAACUGGAGAGAGCAAGAAAAUGAGUUAACAGGGCUAUUCGUUCCUCAUUGACCCGUGAGGGCGGGUCAGUUAUUUCACACAAUGUUAUCAUUCAUGAUAUGGAGCACUUUUACUGGUCGGAUGGAGUUCAUCUAUCAGUUGAGGGCAACUUUCAAUUCCUGUUUGACUUGCUGGUAGGAAUUAGAGAGGCGUUAGAGAAUUUGGUGGGGGUUGGGGACUAGAUAGACAUCUGCCCCCAAUGGUAGUGGAAAAUGGAUAGGGGAAUUUACAAUCUAGGGUAUACCUAGGGCACCAUCCCCUUUGGGUUGAACGACAGCAGAAAAAACACUCAUCUGGUAUUCAUCUUUAACAGGUGAGGUGAAGUUAAAGGCCCUUGGUAUGCUAGGAGUUUGGCCUCAACAACGUUGAGGGAGGCUUCUCUGACACGCUCCGCUUAAAGGUUGCUCAGGUGCAGGCCAACCGGGAACGAGGUUUUUCGCCCUUAUCAGCCCACGGGGAGAUCACAUAAGGACAAUACCUUGGAUGGGGUUUGCUCCUACCAGAUUCUCUAUUAGAAUAGGGUUAUAUUCAGUUCCAAAGUUAUAUAGGUAACAGUUAAUAAAGUUGCCCAUAUUUAAACCCAUUUUACUGGUGUCGUCUUGUUAUUUUGGGGGUUGGCAGGCAAAAGCCUGUUACUUCACUGGGGUCAACAUUGGGAUUUACUUUGCCUUGUGUUUUUUGGAUUUUACAACCUUGUACCUUGUGAUUUAUUCCUGUAUCCUG
rnacentral:lncRNA from 11 species